ACGAACGCUGGCGGCGUGCUUAACACAUGCAAGUCGAGCGGUAAGGCCCUUUCGGGGGUACACGAGCGGCGAACGGGUGAGUAACACGUGGGUGACCUGCCUUUAGCUCUGGGAUAAGCCUGGGAAACUGGGUCUAAUACCGGAUACGACUCCGCGGUGCAUGCUGUGGGGUGGAAAGCCUUGUGCGGCUGGAGAUGGGCCCGCGGCCUAUCAGCUUGUUGGUGGGGUGAUGGCCACCAAGGCGACGACGGGUAGCCGGCCUGAGAGGGCGACCGGCCACACUGGGACUGAGACACGGCCCAGACUCCUACGGGAGGCAGCAGUGGGGAAUCUUGCGCAAUGGGCGAAAGCCUGACGCAGCGACGCCGCGUGAGGGAUGACGGCCU
rnacentral:rRNA from 1 species